rnacentral:rRNA from 1 species
UCGAACGGAGUAAAGUAGCUUGCUAUUUUACUUAGUGGCGCACGGGUGAGUAAUGUAUAGCUAACCUGCCCUUUAGUGGGGGACAACAGUUGGAAACGACUGCUAAUACCCCAUACUCCUUCUUAUCAUAAGGUAAGUUGGGAAAGAUUUAUUGCUAAAGGAUGGGGCUUUAUUGUAUCAGCUAGUUGGUGGGGUAAUGGCCUACCAAGGCGAUGACGCAUACCUGGUCUGAGAGGAUGAUCAGGCACACUGGAACUGAGACACGGUCCAGACUCCUACGGGAGGCAGCAGUGGGGAAUAUUGCACAAUGGGGGAAACCCUGAUGCAGCAACGCCGCGUGGAGGAUGACGCAUUUCGGUGUGUAAACUCCUUUUAUAAGGGAAGAUAAUGACGGUACCUUAUGAAUAAGCACCGGCUAACUCCGUGCCA